rnacentral:rRNA from 1 species
UGGGGAAUAUUGCACAAUGGGGGAAACCCUGAUGCAGCGACGCCGCGUGAGCGAUGAAGGCUUUCGAGUCGUAAAGCUCUGUCCUAUGGGAAGAAAAUGACAGUACCAUAGGAAUAAGGACCGGCUAAUUACGUGCCAGCAGCCGCGGUAAUACGUAAGGUCCGAGCGUUGUCCGGAAUCAUUGGGCGUAAAGGGUACGUAGGCGGGUAAGCAAGUUAGAAGUGAAAUCCUGUAGCUCAACUACAGUAAGCUUUUAAAACUGCUCAUCUUGAGAUAUGGAAGGGAAAGUGGAAUUCCUAGUGUAGCGGUGAAAUGCGCAGAUAUUAGGAGGAAUACCGGUGGCGAAGGCGACUUUCUGGCCAUAAUCUGACGCUGAGGUACGAAAGCGUGGGUAGCAAACAGG